AAAGCAGGCUUAUGCCGUUGAAUAUACUAGCAUGGAAUAAUAAGAUAGGACCCAGGUACUAUUUUGUUGGUUUGCGCACCCGGGUAAUGAUUAAUAGAGACAGGCGGGGGUAUUCGUAUUCCAUUGUCAGAGGUGAAAUUCUUAGAUUUACGCAAGACGAACUACUGCGAAAGCAUUUA
rnacentral:rRNA from 1 species